UGGGGAUGACGGUCAAGUCCUCAUGGCCCUUAUGGGUAGGGCUUCACACGUCAUACAAUGGCCGGUACAGAGGGUUGCCAAGCCGCGAGGCGGAGCCAAUCCCAGAAAGCCGGUCGUAGUCCGGAUUGCAGUCUGCAACUCGACUGCAUGAAGUCGGAAUCGCUAGUAAUCGCGGAUCAGCAUGUCGCGGUGAAUACGUUCCCGGGUCCUU
rnacentral:rRNA from 1 species